rnacentral:rRNA from 1 species
UGGGGAAUAUUGGACAAUGGGGGAAACCCUGAUCCAGCAAUGCCGCGUGAGUGAAGAAGGCCUUAGGGUUGUAAAGCUCUUUCGCCCGCGAAGAUAAUGACGGUAGCGGGAGAAGAAGCCCCGGCUAACUCCGUGCCAGCAGCCGCGGUAAUACGGAGGGGGCUAGCGUUGUUCGGAAUUACUGGGCGUAAAGCGUACGUAGGCGGAUGCGCAAGUUGGGGGUGAAAUCCCGGGGCUUAACCUCGGAAUUGCCCUCAAAACUGCACUUCUUGAGACCGAGAGAGGUAAGGGGAAUUCCUAGUGUAGAGGUGAAAUUCGUAGAUAUUAGGAAGAACACCAGUGGCGAAGGCGCCUUACUGGCUCGGUACUGACGCUGAGGUACGAAAGCGUGGGGAGCAAACA